rnacentral:tRNA from 1 species
UGGCUCAGAGGUUAAAGUGUCUGCCUGGAAUACAGGAGACCCAGGUUCAAUCCCUGG